UUUCCUGCCAGCAUCUUACACCCUGCAGUUAUGUGCUGGAUUGUCUCAGGGGCCUCUUUGCACAGCCUACACCUUGGGUCUUGUCUGGUGUGGUAGAUCUGGCACACUAAAGCACACUGCAGCGAUGAACUGUGAAGUCAACCUGUUCAACUAUCCCUUCGCCCUUUCGCCAUCCAAACCUGGUCCACUAAUGGAUGUGCGGGUCGCUCUGGGAACUUAUAAUGGGAUUUAUUUCAUUAUUUUCUGACAUUUCUGCCGCUGGCAGGCGGUGAAUGCAACUCUUUCAGCGUCACUCUGGUGCUCGGCUUCACCAUGUUCCUCAACAUCCUCAACGAUGAGCUCCCUGGAGACAGCCAGUGCAGCCCCAUCAUCCGCCCGUCAGCUUGCAUGCAGACACAAACACACUCAUACAAACUCUCAAACGAAGUAUAUGAACAGCAUCACAGUUUGAGACACUAACUGUCUGUCUGUGCUGCAGGAACCCACUUCUGUAUGUGUCUGGUCUUCUUGGUGUUGAGCAUGUUGGAGUCCGUGGUGCUGACGCAGUUGGCCAAAGAUGGCGGCAUCAUUUUCUGCUGCUGGUCCAAAGGGCCAGUCCUAGAGAACAGGGAAAAGAAAGAGGAUGAGGGUGAGGAAGCUCGUUAAACAAAUACUGCAAGUGUUGAGUCGGUGCUGCAAUACUUGAUAUUGAGCAGGGAAUUUUGAUGCUCACAAAGUCUCGAUUUUGGAUAAACAAAAAACACUGUAUGAUCUGUUGUGAUUGCUACUUCGACCCCUACAGAAGCCAAAGGUGACAUUAGUGUCAUUCAGCUGAAUGCCUGAGGACAGUCGAAUGCUCAGAAAGGUGUCCAACUUCCUGGAAAAUAUUGACGCAGGUACACUGGAAACUGAGAGACAUCAGAAGUUUGCCAACGCAAGAUAUUUUUCUGAAUCUAUUCCUUUUUUUGGCACUGUAUACUUUUUUGCAAUGACUUAUGUGAUGAUAAAUUAUAAAUGUACAGUUAACCAUUUUGAUUUCUGGUACUAAUAAUACGGUUUAACUGUGUGUUAUUGCAUGCCAUUACUUUAUUGAAACAGCUAAACUGAGCUGUUCUCAAUAAAAUUACAAAUUUAUGAUUACAUAAGAUCUCAUAAAAUCAAAUGCAAAUAUUGAAAGAUUGAAGCAAAUCUCACCUCACAUUUAUUACAUUUGUUACACGUUACAUUCACAAUAAUAUCAUAAAACAAUAUAAUGUUGUGGUGCUGAUUUGUACUUAUAGUUCAUCUCUUGAUGUAUGAAAAUGUGUUAGCAUAUUCUAAAAAUCAAACAAAUAAAGGAAUUUCAUCUUUCACUCCUGAUAUCUUUUUCCCCUGACUGAGUCACAUGAUGCAUGUAAGUGUAUGAAAUGAUUAUUUAAAAGAUUGUCCAAUAUUCCAUAACACCCUCUUCAGGACAUGUAUGGCAGUAUUCCAGGAUGUUAUUCUGAGGGAAUAAAAUCAGUAGAAUAAGGUACAAUAUAAUAGAAAUAUAUAAAAUGCAAGGAAAAGACAAAUGAAACGAAGUAUGUGACACAGAAUCUGCUAAACUAAAAUGUUCCUUUGUUGCCGCCUAGUGGGUGAAUCACUCACUGCAGACAGACUGGUGCUUGAUUAGUUUCUACACCGAUACUCUGACCUGGACCUGAUGACAUUUUAACCAGCAGGACUUCAGCUUGAGUUGAAUAUUUCACAACUCUGUGUCUGUCCACCAUUAAAACAAAGCUGCUGAAGGGCAGCUAAUGAGAGGUGAAUAUACUGAUAGGUGUUAAUAACAUAAUGUUAAGAAAAAUCAAUGGGUAUGUCUGAGGUAAUUUGCAGGGAAUUUAUGAGAUUUUGACACUUAAUAUCCUAUGAAACCACUUGAACACCCCUGUUAUACUGUUAUUAUUAAGGAAUUACUGUUCAAUAUACAGAAUGUUUAGAUAUCAUGAUCAUGGGGUUAUUAUAGUUGCUCAAUUGUGUUUACAAUGAGCCUUUAGUAAGAGUUGCAGUCAGAAAUGAUGGUUAUAAGUUUACUGUUGUCUCUUUUUUUUUUUGUAAAACACAACACUUUCCUCAGAGAAGUCCUGGGUAAAUGACCAGUUUUUGUAUAAAAUCACACCCAAGCAGCACUUAUAUCAAAACAUUUUAACUUUUAGAAACUCUACAAUUUAUAACAAUGUUUUUGUUUUUUUUAGUAGGCACAAUAAGGUAACAGAUCUGUUUAUAUACAGUAUAUUAUCCCCAAAUACCUUUUUGAAAACAGUGUACAGUACAUUAAUUGAUGCUGCCUGCAGGGCUGUGGCUCAAACUCAAGCUAUAUGUGAAACACAUUUAAUGCUUUCAUUUUUACAACAAAACUGCUCUGAAUUUAGGGCAAUGUCUAGAUCCAAAUCCCCUUUAGGACUCAGGCAUUUUAACAUCUUUAAUGUCUUCUUAACUCCUGAUUUAAGAUGAAUUAAA